rnacentral:lncRNA from 1 species
GGUGAGCUGGGUUUGGGGGGAGUUCCAUAAUAUACUCAAGUUCCGGGCUGGCUAGCUAGCUCUGGGCACACAGGGCCAAGGGGCCUUUUAACCCACGGUUCCCACCUAGGGAUCCCACCAGGACUGUGGAGGACAUAGCAAGUGGUCCUCCCCGCCGUGAGCUUGUGCACACUACCCAGACCCAUGUCUUACCCCCAUGGUUCUCUCCUUUCCUCAUCCUAAGUGCCUGGCAGAUGAAGGAGUUUUCAGGAGCUUUUGACACUUAUAACCCGCCCUUUUUGUAUGCACCAUGGGCGGCUUUUGUAUGUAAUUGCAGCGUGGGGUGG